rnacentral:lncRNA from 1 species
GUGUUUUUGAAUGGUAAAAUUUGUGAUGUGUAUGUGUGUUUCUGUAUCUAUAUCUGUAUCUAUACCAUAUAUGGAUCUUUGCUUCUUAUAUUUAAAAAAGCAAAAAGAACAAAACACCACCACACACACACACACAAAAAAAAAAUAAAAAAUAAAAAUGCUGCCCCAGAUGGUGUGCCCAUCCAUGUGGAUAAGUGUCACUGAGAAGACUGAAACACACUCUGCGCUCCGCAUCCUCCCUGCUGGACACCCAGCCCUCAAGUGACUCUCUGCUGUCCCUGGUUGUGCCUCCUGCUUGUGUCGCUGCCUGUUCUCCUCACAGUCUGCAAGCUUCAUUUGCUCCAAAAACGCUGUUCCUUUUCUGCUUGCUGCAAACCGGGUUGGACGGCAUGGCUGUCGCUUCUCAGCAGUUGUGCUGCACCUCCGGGUAGCUGCCCACCCUGGCCAUAGUUACUCUGCCCCUUCUGUUGACCAUUUGGCCACUGACACUGAGGCUGAAGUUCAUCUCUGAUUAAUAAGGGAUACUAAUGAAGUGGCUCAACCACACAGCAUGUCCUGUGGGACAGGAGAAAUAUGGAGAAUGCAGCACACUUGCUUCCUACCGAAGUAGGUAUUUUCUUUCCAGAUUUCCUUCAGUUGUGAAGUCUGACGAUUUCAAUUUUUUUGGAUGAAAUAGAAAAUGCUCACCUAAAAAUGUAAGUCAGAUUUGUUAAAAUCACUUCCAAAGGAUACUGAUAUGUCAGGUAGCGUUUGCAUACACAAUAAUUUCUUUAAAAUACAUUUUCCAGGUGGAUUUAUUAUUAUAGCCAUAUUGAAAGUAAUUUUCCUUAUUGUGGAGAAAGAUACAAUAGUCUAGCUUAGCCCAAUUCUAUUAACAGGUAACUCUUUUAACCAACUCCUCUUGUUUUGAUUGCAUGCUUAUGUGUGCUAAGCUGCCUUUCUUGGAUGGCCUCCAAAUUAUUACCAUGUCUUGACAUUCAUGCUCUGUUUUAUCUUGUUCCCUACACUCCUUUGAGUGUAGGCUGGACCUAAUAACAAUUUGUAAUUUGUUAAAAGGCUGGCUUUUAACAAAUAGAAUACAGCAAAAGUGAUGGGAUGAUCACUUCUGAGAUUAGGUUAUGAAAGACUGUGACUUCCAUCUAUGUUGUACUCUCUGACUAUCUCACUCUGAUGAAGCCAGCUGCCAUAUCGUGAGUGGCACUGUGGAGUUGUCCAUGUGGACAGGAUGUGAUGGUGAGCAGCCUUUGGUCAACAGCCAACAAGUCACUGAGGCUCAUAGUUAAACAAGCUUCAAGGAAUUGGAUCCUGCCAACAACUACUGAGUGAGCUUGGAAGUGUAUCCUGCCCCAGUUGAAUCUUGAGACGACGUGGCCCUGACCGAUAGUUUGCGGUCUUGUGAGAGACUCUUUUGAGCUGGAAAACCUAGUUAAACCACACCUAGAUUUGU